rnacentral:rRNA from 1 species
CUCAGAUCAUGUAAGAUUUUAAUGAUCGAACAGAUCAAAAUUUUAAACUUUUGCAUUUAAAUUUUAUCUUAAUCCAACAUCGAGGUCGCAAACUUUUUUUUUUAUUUGAACUAAAAAAAAAUAUUACGCUGUUAUCCCUAAGGUAAUUUUUUCUUAUAAUCAUUAAUAAUGGAUCAUUUAAUCAUUUAUUUAUGUUUAAUUUUUAAAAAAAGUUCAUUAAAUUUUUCUAUCGCCCCAAUAUAAUAAUUAAUUUUAUUUUAAUAAAAAAUUUAAUAUAACUUUAAAAUAAAAAUAAAUAUAAAACUCUAUAGGGUCUUCUCGUCUUUUAAAAUUAUUUUAGCUUUUUAACUAAAAAAUAAAUUUCUAAAAAUAAAUAAGAGACAGUUUAUAUUUCAUCAAAUCUUUCAUACAAGUUUUCAAUUAAAAAACUAUUGAUUAUGCUACCUUUGUACAGUCAUUAUACUGCAGCCCUUUAAUAAUUAUCAGUGGGCAGAUUAGACUUUAAAUUAUAAUCAAAAAGACAUGUU